rnacentral:misc_RNA from 1 species
GGGGGGUUGGCUCAUGUUUUUGCAUCGAACUGCCAGACCUCAUCCUCUUCAAGCCUCAAGCAUUACUCUUAUGCUUGUUAGUUGACCGUGUUCCUGUAUUUGAUACCCAUGUUGGAGGAACUACGUUUAUGUUCUCCUUAAUCCUCUCGGUGCCUCUUAGGGCCAUCAAGAGGAGCACGCAGUUUGAUUCGUCGAACCGGGCAUGCCUAUUCGGUUGCAACGGUUGUCGCAUCAAAGCUUGUGUUCUCGGAUGCGGAAUAUUCGAUGGGCCCAAGGAUUGAAUCCUUGCAUUUGCCCUGUGUGGGAAAACGUCCCUUUAUAAGAACGACAUCCGUUGUGCGUUUCGAUCCAUCCGACGUCUGCUCGGGCUGAGGAUGCUUCGCGCGUGCACCGGUGUCCUCGAAGGAAUGCUACCUGGUUGAUCCUGCCAGUAGUCAUAUGCUUGUCUCAAAGAUUAAGCCAUGCAUG